GUCACGUAUGUACGCAAACUUUAAUUACUCUUUGUCGACUAGUCCUCAGUGAAAAGAUCGUACCUAAUAAAGUCAAGCUAUUCAAGGUAGGUGACAUUAAUGAACAAACUGAUGGUGGCGGUGGUGUAGGACUGGAGCUAUGACUGGAGACUGAGUGGUACCUGUCGUUGUCGUGCGCGUCGAGGUCGCACCACUUCCAGAUGGCGGCGUUGGUCCAGCGGCGCGUGAGGUUGGACUCGGCCUCGCGCUCCAUCUUCAGGUAAUGAGGAGUCAGCUCGCGUCUCUCCGCCAUAUCGCGCAUUAUGUUGAACAGCCAGUCACGCAUGCGCCGAGGGAAGUCCAACAUCUCGUUCUCGCUACAUUCCUGAGGUAAUUAUAGUAAAAAUAUAAAAUAAACCAUAA